CGUAUGUGCAGCUGCAAUAAUAUUCCCAAAUCCUGAAAUACUCCUGAGACGUAAACAAGUAAAUAGCUACAGUCCUCAAGGAACUUACUUUUUCAAGGUAUUUUGUUGGACAGUGACACUCAAGAUGGCUACAAGGCAAGCAUCAGUUGAAAAGAAAAGGGCAUCAGCGAAAGACAGGCUGGCAAAGCACAGGGAAAAAAUAUACAGCAAUCCAGUGUUACUUGAGGAGUACAGAAGAAAAGAGAGAGAGAGGUAUCGGAAACGUAAGGAAAACUGUAAAAUUAAGACUACUCAGGACCUCACAAGUAGACAGCUUGAGAGAAAAAAAAUUAAAUGGAGGAAAAAUUCAGCAAAAUAUUACAGGAAAAGAAAGCAAGAGCAAGCACUUCUAGAUCUAACCCCAGCAUCUUCAUUAAGUGAGGCAGAACAUUCCUUUUCAAAUGAAGAAACUAACAGAGAGGAACCGGACACAAAUAAUGAAAAUCUGAACAGAACACCAGCAGAAGAAAGUUUAGACCUGACAGGGUCAAUGGAGGCAUCCACCCCCCAGAGUACAGGUACAAAGCACUCGUUCCAGUGGUUUGUUUUAGUUGUUUUACCAACUCAUAACUUAAGUUGCUGCUAUUCAAGUUCAUCACAUGAAAUUAUUCUCAGAAAAAAGUUGGUUGAAUGUCAGGACCAACGUUUUUUUUUAGCUAAACUGAACAAAUUCUACAAGAGC
ensembl:lncRNA